ACUGUCUGCGCGAGUCAGUUGAACUUAGCAGAACGUGCGCUGAACGAAGCCUCACGCGGGGUUCCAGCGGACCCAGGUGGCUUUGUGGAGAGUUCUGGGGCUGAUGACCAGAUAGUAAACAGGAAUCCUGAUACACCUGGAAAACCUGGAGUAUUAGAUUGAAAGAAACACUUUUCUGGACCAACAUUGAAUGGCCUGCAAGUGGACAACUAUGCCACAAAUACGUGGCCAGGUUCAGGCAGAGCUUGUGCACACAAGGACCUGCAUGGCCUUGUAAGCUGUGACUGUAACUGCACUAUCAAGGAAAUUCCUCAGUCCUCCAGGGUCAACUCGCAACAAGGCAAAGGACAAAGCA
rnacentral:lncRNA from 1 species